rfam:Cucumis melo, WGS project CAJI01000000 data, contig: 17646
CUGUAUAGAAAAGAAUGCAUUGGAUGGAUGCUUGGGCAUUGAGAAGGAAGGACACUUUCAAAGGUGAAAGGCCAUAGGGAGGUCUCGUUUGUGAUCCAUGGAUCUCCGAUCGGGAAACUGUAUCCAAGCUCUGUGGCUAGUCUAUGCUCUUUGGACUUUUCAAACUUAGCGAACUUAAACAUCUUAGUAGCUAAAGGAAGGGAAGUCAACUGAGACCCUAUUAGUAGCGGCGAGCAAGAGUGAAUUGGGGGUUUUCAGAGAAAAAAAAAUAUGAGGCUUCGUUCAUUGACUGAAGUCAAUCUUCUUCAAAUCGCUCUGUGGGUUCAACUGAGUUCCUCAGCAAAGUGUGAACGUGGUCUUCAUUUUCUUUUUCACCAAGUUUCAUUCAAUUUUUGUGGAUUGGAUGAUGGAAAAACAAGCAAGGUGCUUAACCUUUCAUACGAGGUCAAGGAUCUAAGAAUUUGAGUUGUCAAAAGGUUGGAAGAUUUGGCCAAAGAAGGUGAUAGCCCUGUAGAUUCAUUUCCAUAGUUCGAUCUUUCCUAAUCAAACGCGGCAUGUUCAAAUUCUGAUCGCUUUUACGCGAGAAAGGGGGACCACCCUCUAGGCCUAAGUAUUCCUCAAUGACCAAUAGCAUACAAGUACUCUGAAGGAAAAGUAAAAAGAAAACCUUAUUUAGGAAGUGUAAUAGAGGACCUGAGAUUCGAUGCUUUCAAUCAGUCGAAGGAGCGGCAAGCCUUGACUUUUGAUUCUCUUAGUCAAGCUAUCUCACUCUAACAGUAUACCUUUUGCAUGAUGGGUCAAUGAGAAAAUGGGAACUAUGACUUAAGCCAUUAGGUGUAUGCGCUUUCCAGAGGUGGAAGAUUCUUAUUCUUCCUAUUUGACCCAAAAUCGAUCGAUCUAGCCAUGAGCAGGUUGAACAAAGCUCUAACAGGCCUUGGAGGAUCGAACGCAUGUAUGUGGCAAAAUAUGAGAUGACUUGUGGCUAAGGCUGAAAGGCCAAUCCAUAUCGAAUAUAGUUGGUUUUUCGUAAAAUCUAUUUCAGUAAAGCGUAUGAUGUCGAUGGCCUGAGGUAGAACACUCAAUGGUCUAGGGUUGCCCCAUUUCACCUUACCAACCCUAGAGAAACUCCGAAUACAGGCCUAGAUCAUUUGUACAGAUAGACUUUUGGGGUUGUUAAGAUUUAAAGUCGAGAGGGAAACAGCCUAGGUUGUAUGCUAAGGUCCCUAAGCAAUCACUUCAUGGAAAAGGAAGUUCUCGAGCGAUGACAACCAAGAGGUGGGCUUGGAAGCAGCCAUCCUUUGAAGAAAGCGUAAUAGCUCACUGGUCUAUCUCUAUGGCACCGAAAAUGUCUAGGUCCUUAAGUGAUUGACCAAAGCGAUGAGGCCUUAAAACCAACUUUUUCAAUCGGGGAAGGUUUUUGGUGACAAGACUUGGAGAUAUCAAAAGUGAGAAUGCUGGCAUGAGUAACAAGAAAUCCUUUGAAAAGCACGAUCGCCUACCAGUGGAAGGCUUUCUGCAUUCAGUUAAUAUACGCAGAGUGAAACUAUCCCCAAGGAACCCCCAAAAGGGCUACUGUCCGAUGGUUACAUGAAAGUGAUGAUAUAACUUUGACUACAAAACCAUGCUUGUCUGUUAGAGCGAAUAGGAUGAUCGGGUCGAGGGCAGCCCCUUCUUCCCCUCACUUUCCUUUCCCACUCCAUAGGAUUCACCUUAAGUCAUCAAAGUCUUUUUUACUUGACCUGGUCCAGACGCAUUACAUGGCUAGCGCAACCGAAAGGCAAAACUCUCAUCUUCAUUUGGCAACCGCUACAUAGGGGAUGAACACCUUUUUUUGUUAUCUAAAGGCUUUGACUUGACCAAGCAGGCAAGGCGAGCUCCGGCUCCACGUACCUGCUGACGCUUUUCUCAACACUUGAGAGUGUGCUCUUUCAUUUUCGAAUGUCUCAUUCAACCUCACGAGUCUACAAGCCUUUCUCAUUUCAGUGCUCGUCGUUGAGUAUGGGUCCCAAGAGAGCAUACCGCUGGAGUUGUGAGUCUGUUUAUAGUUGUGACUCUUGUCAUAGUGAACAAUGUUUCAACUUCUAAGAAAAAACUUCUUUCUUUAGGAGGGUGAUCCUUCCGAUGAACAAGUAGAGUAUACAAGGGCGCUUGAGAGAACCAUGUCAAAGAAACUCAGUAAAAUGACCCCAUAACUUUGAAAGAAAAGGUGCUCUCCUAUCUUUUUCUUAGGAAGACGAGAAAUACUAAGGGGUAGAGACUGUUUAUUAAAAACACAGGACUUUGCCAAGUGGUAACACGAUGUAUUGAGUCUGACACCUACUCGAUGCUUAAACGUCAAAAGGAGAAGUGUGAUAAGCUUUGAAUGGAAGCCUCGAUAAAUGGCUGCAGUAACUUUAAUUGUCCUAAGGUAAUAAAAUUCCUUAUCACAUAAGUAGUGACCUGCACGAAUGGUGUCACAACUACCUUACUGUUUCCUACAUGGACAUAAUGAAAUUGAAUUCUUCGUGAAGAUGCGGAGUACCAACGACUAGACGGUAAAACCCCGUGCACCUUCACUAUAACUUCGUAGUGACAACCUUGAUCGACUGUGUAGGAUAGGUGGGAGGUGGUGAUAUAAAACGACCAAUCCUGAAAGACUACUCUUUCGUCUAAGGAAGCCUAACCGCUGCAUCUAGUUUUCGAAGGGGUUGAGACACUGCAAGAUGGGUAGUUUAUCUGGGGCAAAUGCCUCCUAAAGAGUAAUAGAGGUGUGCGAAAGUAGGCCCAAGCUUAUAUUCUGCUCGUGAGUGUAAUGGUAUGAGCUUUUCUAACUAUGAGAUCUAUUAGUCGAAUAGAGAUGAAAGUCGGCCAUAGUGAUCUAAGAGUUCUGUGUGGAAGGGCUCUCGCUUAACAGAUUAAAGGUACGUUAGGGAUAACAGGCUGAUGACUCCCUAGAACUCUUAUUGACGAAGUCAUUUGGCACCUCGAUGUCGACUCAUCACAUCCUAAGGUUGAAGAAGGUCCCAAGAGUUCGAUUGUUCACCGAUGAAAGUGGUACGUGAGUUGGGUUUAGAACGUUGUGAGAUAGUUUGAUUCCUAUCUACCAUUAGCGUGAAAGGGAGAACUGCAAGGAGCCAACCCUAGUAUAAGAUGACUGCGUUGGGCUAACCUAUGGUGUACCAGUUGUUAUGCCAAUAGCAGUAUCGGGCAGUUAAGUUGGUAUUGAAGAACUGCUGCACCAUGGGAAAUCCUUCUUUAUACAAGUUCUUGAACGAGGUUUUUGAACAUCACUUCGAUAGGCGAGAAGUGUAAGCAUCGCGAGGUGUUCAGCGAUCUCGUACUAAACGAAAGAACUUGUACUUUC